GUGUCUGUCUGUCACCACCACCACCAUCAUCCCCAAGUGUGAGACCAACAGCUGAGGGUCGUAACUCGCCUCCCUAACAUGGACGAGUUGAGUUGACAGAGAAGAGACAGCAUCGCAGUUGUCGGUAGAUGGCAGCACCAACAGCCAUCUCAGAGAAUCACAGAAGACACCUGGAGUGGAUGACACGUGCCAGUAAUCACCAAGGAGCUGUGCAACUGAACCAGCAGAAGUGAAUGGCAGACAACUCUUCCCCCCCCUUCCCCCUGCCACCGCUAAUGUGUGAUGGAAGACUCGUAAGUUACAGAAAACCUAACCUAACCUAACCUAACUUAACCUAACUCUAUACCACCAUACAAAGUUACCAACAGGUAUUAUAAGGGAGUGAAAGGUGAGGUGUUGAAGGUGAUUAACAAACGUCAACAUCGUUCUUCAUCGUCUCAGCUUCCAUCGUCUGGUACUGUACAAGUGAAGGGAAAGAUCUUAUGUGUCUGUUUCACUCAAGUAUAAUUUCUAAUACACGGAAGUAUACGAGUAGUAUAUCCUGUAAGGUAAAUAAUGGACUGUCACUCUUGUUUGGCUACACUGGGAAGCUAUUGGAAUAUUAUAUGGUAAUUUUUUAUAUAUUAUUAUUUAUAUGGUUCUGUGUUUUUAGAUUUAUAAACCUAUAAUGAUAUAAGAGUUUUGAGGGAAA